GCUAGUGCUUCGAUGAAGACUUCGAACGGUGUAGGGCUUCAGUCUGGGUUGAGUCCACUGAUGCGGUUGGAUGCAUUUUGGAUUUAUCGGAUGCUGCUGGGCCUACUGAGUUUCUCCAGCAUUCUGUGUGUUUGUUGAAGAACACUCCGUGUGCUGGAUAUGUGCAGUGACCUGCACUCUUGUAGCCAUCGGUGCUGAGCAUCAAGUUUAUAUUCCAAAUCCAGCCUCUGGACAUUCCAUUUUGACUCCUACUGCCUCUCCAGACCUGAAGCACAAUUUUCUGUGGCUGCACCUGAAGACAUUUCCUGACAUCUGGUCACCCUGGACACUGAAAAUGUCCCGAACUUUCCACAUCCCACAGGAAGAGCAUUCCACAUGGCUGAGCGGCCAUGCCAUGAUAUACCCUUAAAUUAUUCAAACCCAGGUCCCUGGGUGGCAAAGUAGUUAGCACUGCUGCCCCACAGGGCCAGGUUCAAAUCCAGCCUCAGGUGACUGUCUGCAUUGCGUUUGCAUGUUCUCCCAAUGCCUGUGUGGAUUUUCCUCCCACAGUCCAAUGAUGUAUAGGUUAGGUGGAUUGGCCAUGAUAAAUUUCCUUGUAGUGUUCAAAGAUAUGCGCAGUUACUAAAAAGGGGACGUGGGGGAGUGGGGGCCAGGUAUGGGUGGGAUGCUUUUCAGAGAGUUGGUGCUGGUCUGAAUGGCCUUUUUUUGAACUAUAAUACUAUGACACUCUCUUUCUCUAGUUGAAAGAAUAUGAAAUAUGUACCAGGGAUUUCACCUUAUCCCUUGUACUUUAAAUGCUGUUCAUCUAAUCUAAGGAUCAGUUUUUGCAUUAAAGCUUGGACAGUAGAAAUACUCACCUGGCCUUGCUUACCAAGAUAGUGGCACAUCCGGUUUUGGCUCCCUGUCCCAACAGAGCUUACAGUUUUCCCUGUAAUGUCAUUUAUGAAUAUUGCCAA